AGGGGGCCACGGAGGGCCGGGCCAGGAGAGAGCAGGUGAGAAGGUGAUUUUCUGAGUGGAUACUCCAACCCCCGCUCUCCCCAUAGUAGCCUGUGUCCUCCUCCCCCAGACUUUCCACUGCUCCCCUCACUUCAGUGUCCCAGGUGACUGACGUCACCACAGCUCUCCCUUCUCCAGACACCGCUCAUGGUUCCUACUCUCCUCUCUGAGAUAGGAAAAAGAGACAGACUUGUCCCGGGCCUGAUUCAGGGUCACUGACGAAGGGGAGAAUCCACACAGGCCAGUUUUCCAAACAUUCUAAGUGUACCCUUUUAGAGGUCCAAACCUAAUACUUUUGGUUACCAUUCUGGAUGGAAACCUUUCUAAAAUGUUUUGUAUUCUCUUUUUAAGGAGGCUCAGGAUACAGAAUGGAAUCCAGCUUUUUGUUUGGAUCUGGGCAGUGAUUCACAUGCUGGUGUGGCCACAGGCAAAGCACAGGUAUCUGACAGACCCUCCCUUAGCUGACCCCCUGGAGUCACCAGUCUCUCCAUUUCUUCUGUAAAACAGACUGACAGCACUUCUGUAAAACAGAAAUACCCACAGGACGCUGAGCCCUGGAAGGCAGCAGCUCCUGGAGGACCAACCGCACACACCUGAGUUGAAUGUUACCAACAAACAGUUGGGUUUGACCUCCAACUUCCUGCAGGGCAACCGGUACCCAGAGAGGUAAAGAAACAGGUCCAAGGUCACACAUCUGGGAAGUGACCGAGUCAGGAUUUGAACCUAGGCCUGUGGCCUCCUGAGCCUGGCUGCUUAACAAGUGAAUCACACUGUCAAUUUGACUACAGCUACCAGAUGGCUCCCCUGGCACGAGGCUCCGGGAGGGACCUGCGGCUGCCCACAGGACUCUGUGGAUUCGUGUCAUGAUGAGACUUCAUAAAGCAAGAAGAGUGUGGACUUGGGGCCAUAGCCCUUCUCGACUUCCUAGUUGUGUGACCUGCCCCCGACCAUCAGUUUGGGGGUGGCAGUGCCUGGCACACAGGGUAGCCGUGAGGGCUAACUGUGUGUGAAGUGUCCAGCCCUGACUGGCUGGAGGAGUUCCGUAUAAGGCAGCCUCGAGUUUCAGGGGUGUUCGCUCCCCGAUGGCUGGUGACAGUUACUCAACCCCUUACCAGGCAGCGACGGAGCCAGCUGUGGUCUCUGGCACUCCUUCUUGGGCUCCCUGUACCCAGUGGAGAAGGAUGGGCAGUGCCUUCACCUGUCCUCUCUCCCACUGAGCCCAGGCAUUACCCACACUGAGGUCUCUAGCCCCCACCGGCUCCAGCUGCCUCCUUCCCAGCCUAGGAAGCAACCAGUGACCUUGUUCUUCCUGAGCUUCCACACCUGUCCUGGGCUCCAUCAUCUCAUGCCCACCUCUGGUCCUGCCUGUGCUCUGACCCUUGGCCACUGUCCUCAUUUUGCUAAAGAAAUUAGCCAAAUGUGAUGGCCCAUGUCACUACCAAUUCUUGAUCUCUCUGCUCACAGGGGCCCUGCCCUUGCUGCGGCUCUCAGGAAUCCUCUUGGGUUGACCUAGGACUUUGACCUUUAGGAGCUGGUCAAGCCCAUUCCGCUCUUUCAGCCCCUUCCCCACUACUCGCAUUUGCUAGGAACUGUGCCAGCUGAACUCCCCCAACCCCAACUUUAUUGACCAGUGGAAACUAUUUACUGUGACUCUCUCUUUCUUUGGAUAAUUGAUUAGUUGCGCUAUAUUCAUUCACUCAUGCAUUUAUCUUUCCAUUUAUCCACCUAUCCAUUCACUUGUAUCCAGUCAUCCUUCCAUCCUUCCACUCAUCUAUCUGUCCAUUACCCAUCCAGUCAGUCAUCUUUCUGUCCAUCAAAGUAGUCAUCCAUCUAACAAUCUCUUCAUCUAUCCACCUAUUUAUCCAUCUUCUAUCCAACCCUCCAUCUGCCAUCCAUCCGUCCAUCUAUCAAUCCAUUCAUCCAUGCAACCAUCCAUCCUAUCCAAUUGCUACUAAGCAUUUACUAGGUAGAAGGUUCUGUGCUGGAUGCUUGGGAUUAAGAAACAAAUAGGCCAAGGCCUCAGCUCUCAGGAGUUCACAGUCCAGUCUGGAAAGACAGGAGACAUGAGUUUUGAAGUUCCUUCUAGUUCCAAUAUUCUGGGAGCCUAGGACCUGUACCAAGGCUAUGCCAGUGAGUGCUAGGUAGAUGCUUGCGGCCUGAAUGAAAGGCUGAUCUUCCUUCACCUGGGAACACCAGGGACUCAGGCAACCCCUCCUCACAGCUCAGCUGAGGCUCUAAAACCCCCUCUUGCUUCCAAGCUGGUGCAUUGACAUUGUUCAAGGGCAGUGUGGGGGAAAGACAUGGGGUCCCUCACUAGGGACACUGAGGCUACUGCUAACACCUGACCCUGCCUCCACCUGUGGACAUCACCAGAGGCCAGGCAAAGGCUGGCCAGACAGCAACUUCAAAGUUUACUCUCCCUAGAAUCUUUAUUUCUUCUCUCCAAAUUCUCUCUAUCCCCUUUCUUCCUUCCUUCUCCACCUCUCCUAUCUGUUCUCUCUUUCUCUCCCCUCUAUCUCCUCCCAGCUCCCUCCUCCUCAUUUCUCUUGUCUUAUUUCUUCUCUCUUCCCAUCAAGUGGUGGGACACACGGAGUUCAAAUUCUGGGCCACCACUGUAGGUCCUUGGACAAGUCACAAUUCUCAGCCCAGAGUCCUUCCCUAAAACCGUGGCUCACGUGCAACAAUAGAUGGUACAUUUGCCACGCCCACUCUGCAGGAACAGGGGCUCUUUUCUUCAUGGCUCAUCCAUUUCCUUCCUUUUCCCCUUUCUCCUUGUCCAUAUUUCCCCUCCUCCCCUUCUGCUGAGACCACAUUUGAGUUCUGAUCAUACACUUAGUAUUUUUGUUCUAAUUCUCACCUAUAAAAUCAACACUUCCAAAUGAAAUCAUGCCAAAGGCACGAGAUCUGCUGAACACUCCAGGGAUUUGCUCACUCACUCCUUUUCCUAAUCUCCAUCCUGGGCAAAGAAGGGAGAAGGAGGGGGAUUUAAGAAGGGAGGCCUCCAAG